ACGGUAGUUGGGCGAACCUGAUCAGCCAUGCCGCGUGUGUGAUGAAGGCCUUCGGAUUGUAAAGCACUUUUGGCAGAGAAGAAAAGGUAUCCCCUAAUACCGUAUACUGCUGACGGUAUCUGCAGAAUAAGCACCGGCUAACUACGUGCCAGCAGCCGCGGUAAUAA
rnacentral:rRNA from 1 species